UUAGCCCAAACCAAUGUUGUUACGGCAAUAUUGGGGUUGUAGGACCACGAUGUCGCAAGAACUUUAGUGAGAAGAAUUCUUUGGAAAAUGAAACCAUAGACGGUGAUAGUCCGGUAUUCGAAGCUAAACGAAGCGUAGUGGUAUCCUGAGUAGCGCGGGACACGAGGAAUCUUGCGUGAAUCUGCCGGGACCAUCCGGUAAGGCUAAAUACUCCCGAGAGACCGAUAGCGAACCAGUACUGUGAAGGAAAGGUGAAAAGCACUUCGAAUAGAAGAGUGAAAUAGUCCCUGAAACCGUGCGCCUACAAGCGGUCGGAGCAGCGUAAGUUGUGACGGCGUGCCUUUUGCAUAAUGAACCUACGAGUUACUUUUUCCGGCAAGGUUAAGCAUUUCAAAAUGUGUAGCCGAAGCGAAAGCGAGUCUGAACAGGGCGAUUAGUCGGAAGGAGUAGACGCGAAACCAAGUGAUCUACCCUUGGUCAGGUUGAAGGUUAGGUAACACUAACUGGAGGACCGAACCGAUAAGCGUUGAAAAGCUUCCGGAUGAACUGAGGGUGGGGGUGAAAGGCUAAUCAAACUUGGAGAUAGCUCGUACUCCCCGAAAUGCAUUUAGGUGCAGCCUUGGGAAUUACUACUGUGAGGUAGAGCGACUGAUAAGAUGCGAGGGCUUCACCGCCUAUCAAGUCUUGAUAAACUCCGAAUGCGCAGUAGUUCGAUCCCAGGAGUGAGGGCAUGGGUGCUAAGGUCCAUGUCCUAAAGGAGAAGAAUCCGGACCAUCAGCUAAGGUCCCGAAAUAAUUGCUAAGUUGAACUAACGAAGUCAGAUUGCUAAGACAGCUAGGAUGUUGGCUUGGAAGCAGCCAUUCAUUUAAAGAGUGCGUAACAGCUCACUAGUCGAGGAGUUUGGCGUGGAUAAUAAUCGGGCAUUAAGCAAUUUACCGAAGCUAUGGGAUCAGUAAUGAUCGGUAGGGGAGCAUUCCACUCUGCGUCGAAGGUGAAGCGUGAGCUUUGCUGGAGCGUGUGGAAAAGCAAAUGUAGGUAUAAGUAACGAUAAAGGGGGUGAGAAACCCCCUCGCCGAAAGACUAAGGUUUCCUGAUCAACGCUAAUCGGAUCAGGGUUAGUCGGGUCCUAAGGCUCAGCCGAACGGUGAGGCCGAUGGCAGAACAGGUUAAUAUUCCUGUACUACCUUAAGGAGUGACGUGGAGACGGAGCAGUGAUAGCGCCGCGGACUGACGGAAUAGUCCGUUGAAGGGUGUAGAUGUUGAUCUUUGCAGGCAAAUCCACAAAGAGAGUCGAACCUGAUAGUAUGGAACGUUCUUCGGAACAAUCCAAUAGUGCGUGUAAACAUACUCCCAAGAAAAUCCGCUAAACUUAAUCUUUAAGGUACCCGUACCGCAAACGGACACACGUAGUCGGGUUGAAUAUACUAAGGCGCUUGAGUGAUUCACGGUUAAGGAACUAGGCAAAUUGACCCUGUAACUUCGGGAUAAAGGGUCCCAACGAGAGUUGGGCGCAGAGAAUAGGUCCAGGCAACUGUUUAACAAAAACACAGGGCUGUGCCAAAUUGAAAGAUUACGUAUACAGCCUGACACCUGCCCGGUGCUGGAAGGUUAAGAGGAGAUGUCAUCGCAAGAGAAGCAUUGAAUUGAAGCCCCAGUAAACGGCGGCCGUAACUAUAACGGUCCUAAGGUAGCGAAAUUCCUUGUCGGGUAAGUUCCGACCUGCACGAAUGGUGUAAUGAUCUGGACACUGUCUCAACCGUGAGCUCAGUGAAAUUGUAGUAUCGGUGAAGAUGCCGAUUACCCGCGAUGGGACGAAAAGACCCCGUGAACCUUUACUAUAGCUUAACAUUGAAUUUGGGUAAUUGAUGUGUAGGAUAGGCCGGAGACUUUGAAGCAGGUACGCCAGUAUUUGUGGAGUCGCUGUUGAAAUACGGCCCUUUGAUUAUUUGAGUUCUAACUCGUUGUUGCGAGGACACUGUUUGGUGGGUAGUUUGACUGGGGUGGUCGCCUCCAAAAGUGUAACGGAGGCUUCUAAAGGUGCCCUCAGGACGAUUGGUAACCGUCCGUAGAGUGUAAUGGCAUAAGGGCGCUUGACUGGGAGACAGACAAGUCGAUCAGGUAGGAAACUAGAGCAUAGUGAUCCGGUGUUUCCGCAUGGAAGGGACAUCGCUCAAAGGAUAAAAGGUACUCCGGGGAUAACAGGCUGAUCCCUCCCAAGAGCUCAUAUCGACGGAGGGGUUUGGCACCUCGAUGUCGGCUCGUCACAUCCUGGGGCUGGAGAAGGUCCCAAGGGUUGGGCUGUUCGCCCAUUAAAGUGGCACGCGAGCUGGGUUCAGAACGUCGUGAGACAGUUCGGUCUCUAUCUAUCGUGGGCGUAUGAAAUUUGCGUGGCUCUGACACUAGUACGAGAGGACCGUGUUGGACUGACCGCUGGUUUACCAGUUGUGCCGCCAGGUGCAUCGCUGGGUAUCUAAGUCGGGAUUGGAUAAGUGCUGAAAGCAUCUAAGUACGAAGCCAGCCACAAGAUUAGAUUUCUUAGGGUCGUUAAAGACGAUGACGUUGAUAGGAUGCAGGUGUAAAGGUGGUAACAUCAAAGCCGAGCAUUACUAAUUGCCCGUUCACUUUCUUU
rnacentral:rRNA from 1 species